CCUGUCUCACGCCGGUGUUACAACGUCUUCUUGCCCCAAAGGAAGCGCGUUGUUGCCCCACGGCGCCGUUUCAACACGUCACAUCACAGAGGUCUAAAGCACUCCCAGGCCGCCCCUCAGAAGACAUGACGGGGGCCUAAAACACCACAACACUCAAAGGGUCCAUUUAGUCAUUUUACAUGUCUAUGUGCCCAUUUUACAUCUCAAGUUCGUUUUGCAUAUAUUCAUAGCCAUUGUGCAUCUCUUUGUGACCAUUUUGCAUCUAUUUAUAGAUAUUUUGCUUCUAUUUAUAGAAAUGUUGCAUCUUGUUGUGGUCAUUUUUCAUCUAUUUAUAGCCAUUAUGUGUCUUUGUGGUGGUUUUGCAUCUAUUUACAUCAAUUGUGCAUCUCCUUGUGGUCAUUUUUCAUCUAUUUAUAGCCAUUUUGCAUCUCUUUGUGGUCGUAUUUCAUCUAUUUAUUGCCAUUUUGUGUCUUUAUGGUUAUUUUUCAUCUAUUUAUAUCCAUUUUGCAUCUCCUUGUGGUCAUUUUGCAUUUAUUUAUAGCCAUUUUGCAUCUCCUUGUGAUCAUUUUGCAUCUAUUUAUAGAUAUUUUGCUUCUAUUUAUAGAAAUGUUGCGUCUUUUGGUCAUUGUUCACCUAUUUAUAGCCAUUAUGUGUCUUUGUGGUGGUUUUGCAUCUAUUUACAACAAUUUUGCAUCUCCUUGUGGUCAUUUUUCAUCCAUUUAUAGCCAUUUUGCAUCUCCUUGGACUCAUUUUGCAUCUAUUUUUAGUAUUUUUUUUCUUUACCGGCUGGUGGAGACCAAACACGGAGCUAAAAGAGAAAACAAUGGACACAAAGAAGGAAUCCUCCGGCUGCUCUCCGGCUCCUCAUAAAGGGUCGGGCAGGACAUCAUAGCAUGACAUCAUAGCAUGACAUCAUAGCAAUUAAUCGAUCGUGAGACGAGAGUCGUUGGAGGACGAUGAGUCGCAGUCGGCUGCAGAGACAAUUAUGAAAGGGCCAAACCCCGGAUGACGUGCCGUCGUUUGGCAUCCCCAAAAGUUCAUCAAUCAUCCAACGGAGGCCAAAAUAAAUAUACCAACGCAACACAGCGUCUCCUUGACGACGGCGAGGAGCGAGAUCUGGAGCACAAAAGUACAAUAUUAAAAAAUCAGACCGUUAACGUAACGUGAUUCAUCAUGAAAAAUAACAUCGACUUGGCAUGAGUCAUAAUAAAUUAUGUAAAUAAUUUUUUUGUAAAUAAAAGCCGAUAUAAGUCA